CUCGUAGGCGGCCAACUAAGUCAGACGUGAAAUCCCUCGGCUUAACCAGGGAACUGCGUCUGAUACUGGAUGGCUUGAGAUUGGGAGAGGGAUGCGGAAUUCCAGGUGUAGCGGUGAAAUGCGUAGAUAUCUGGAGGAACACCGGUGGCGAAGGCGGCAUCCUGGACCAACACUGACGCUGAGGAGCGAAAGCCAGGGGAGCAAACG
rnacentral:rRNA from 1 species